AAAAUUUGAUGCUAAAUAGUUCACUUGUAAAUCAUCAUAUUUGAUUGAAGUUAUGUAAUUUUUAUGAUGAGAAUGGCUCAGUUCAAUCAAUAGAAAAUAGACAGGCCGAGAUCAAUCAUAAAGAGCAUUAGUAACACUAGAAAUUCUUUGGUUUGAUUCAUGGAAUGGAAUAGAACUGUAAUGAAAUGAUAUCAGCCAACACCAAACGAACUAACACUUAGCCAUAAAUUGCCCAGUUUUUUGAACGUGACAAAGAACAACUCAAUCCAUAAUCUCAAACUCCACAUUUUGUGAAAUGUUCAUCGAAUAAGAUCUGAAUCUAAGAACACAGCUAAAGCAAAAUCCAAAUUCAAAGCUUGCCACCGCUCUUGCAUCCUAGAAGCCACAAUCCCUUGUUUUCUAUUUUAUCAGUAGGAGUUCUGCAGUCAGUCAUAUGAGUUGAUCACAGAAAUUUUCUACUCCUCUUGUGAGAUGGGUUUUCUUCUCUUGCCCUGUAGCAGCUGGAGUUUGGUUAAUUCUCCAUUGCGAUUUAGAUCAGGUUUGAUGCAAAAUCUCAACACUUUGGACUGCUGGAAUUAUCUGACCUCCCCCUUACAGAACCAUCCUGAGGGUAAAGAACUCAUGCAACUUGCUGUUUUUAUUUUGUGGCAAACCUGGAAGCGGCGCAAUAAUCUGAUCUUUAAGAAUGUCCCUCAAGACGUUCAACAGAUAGGAUUAGCUGCUCUUCUUCAGUUUCAGGAGUUUAUCUCUGCUCUAGAAUCUACACCUUAGGAUUUGAAUGCUACCACGCCAACUUCUUUGUCAUCUUCUGUUUGGAGCCCUCCUCCAGCACAUUUCAUCAAAGUCAAUUUUGACGCUGCUACUGACAAGCGAGGACAGAAGGAAUUGUUGCCAUGAUUGCUCGAGGAAGGGACUGUUAAUCUUUGAUUUGGAACUGCAGAGCCUAUAAAUCAAUAUUAGACCCGCCGGUUCUCGAACGUUUAGCUUGUAGAGAUGCUAUGAUUAUGGCAAUUCAUAGAGGUUUUAAUUCUUGUAAUUUUUAAGGAGACUCCCGGUGGUGAUUGAAGCAA
rnacentral:misc_RNA from 1 species